rfam:Acanthamoeba castellanii str. Neff unplaced genomic scaffold scf7180000084594, whole genome shotgun sequence.
CCGGCUGUGGCGCAAUUGGUAGCGCGGUAGACUGUAGUCUUGAUGCUCACCUCGGUAGUCAUCUAUCGGUUCCUGGUUCGAGUCCGGGCAGCCGGA